rnacentral:tRNA from 1 species
GCCCUCUUAGCACAGUGGUAGUGCAGCGGUUUUGUAAACCGAAGGUCGGGAGUUCAAAUCUCUCAGAGGGCACCA